CAGAAGGAGCCAACAGAGUGAGAUGAAGGGGACAACUUCAGAUACUCAGGCAGAAGCAUAAGUCCCCACCUGCUGACCUGCUGCCUGCUAUCUUAACACGAAUUCUUCAUCUGAAUGGAUGAGCUUUUCACAGAGUUCCAAACUAAGGAAUCCAGGAGUGGCCAAUCCAGAGAUUCAUUCCUUAUCUUUGACGAACAUCUGAACUCCUGGCUCAUCCUGUGGAAUUCAGGCCAUACAGGAGAUCAAGGUCAUUUGCUUUGGGUUAAAUGAAUGUUGCCAGGUGGAGGUUGCUAGAGGGAGAGUGCUAUGUGAAAGUGCUGUAUAAACUGCUUGCUUUUCACAAACAGUAGUGAUUCUUUAUCCUGUCCAGCCUGCCACAACUGGACCAUCCUGUAUGUAAGUCCCCUUAAUAAAUCCUGUGUCUCAUUCACUGGCUGUCUAUGUGAAUUCACGCCAAGUCAUGUGACAGUUUGCAUAAUGAAGUGUCAGCAGAUGUGAUGGAAACAGAAGUAAAUAAAAUAUUUGCACGUUGCUGCUUGCUCCCUUUUACCUCAGCCUUUACCAGGGAGAACAAACCCAGCUAACCUGCUAGAGGAUGACAGACACGUCAACCAGAGCUGGUGUCCCAGUCACCCAAGCCAAGGCCAUUCUACCUAAGCCCACAGCUAAUUCACCUCCAGAAAUGUGAGCAAGCCUAGCCAAGAUCAGCCAAGCCAAGCUCAGAGAGACAAUUUAGCACAAACUAUCAAAAGCUUUAAAAGAUGUCUUUAUCUAUAGUUAGAAUUACACAUUUAAGAAUCUACCUUAUUGGGAAAAAUACAGUCAAAGAUUUUAUAGAAA
rnacentral:lncRNA from 10 species